UAUUUAUAUAGUUCUGCAAAAGGGUUGAAUCCGACGCCUCUAGGAGGCUACUAUAGGCUCUCCUUCUCAACUCCUACUCAAUACGUCCACGGCGUGCAGAACGGUAACUUGUCGCCUAGAUAUCCAAGUUUGGGUACACAGGAAAACCCACCCCCUUGGGCGGAUGGGCGGCAAGGCUGAAUUGAGAGGG
rfam:Anopheles epiroticus strain epiroticus2 unplaced genomic scaffold supercont1.21, whole genome shotgun sequence.